UAGUCCACGCCGUAAACGAUGAGAACUAGAUGUUGGGAGGGUAAGCCUCUCGGUGUCGCAGCUAACGCAUUAAGUUCUCCGCCUGGGGAGUACGCCGGCAACGGUAAAACUCAAAGGAAUUGACGGGGACCCGCACAAGCGGUGGAGCAUGUGGUUUAAUUCGAUGCAACGCGAAGAACCUUACCUGCCCUUGACAUACUCGGAACUUUUCAGAGAUGAAUUGGUGCCUUCGGGAACCGAGUUACAGGUGCUGCAUGGCUGUCGUCAGCUCGUGUCGUGAGAUGUUGGGUUAAGUCCCGCAACGAGCGCAACCCUUGUCUUUAGUUGCCAUCAUUUAGUUGGGCACUCUAGAGAAACUGCCGGUGACAAACCGGAGGAAGGUAAGGAUGACGUCAAGUCAGCAUGCCCCUUACGCUCUGGGCUACACACGUGCUACAAUGGCGCUGACAGAGGGUUAAUCCCUAAAAGGCGUCUCAGUUCGGAUUGUCUUCUGCAACUCGAAGAC
rnacentral:rRNA from 1 species